rnacentral:lncRNA from 10 species
AGUUCUGACCUCCAUGCCUGGAACAGAGACCGUGCUUUCUUGGACUGCAGUAAAUGAGCAGGCACUCUCCAGCUUGCCCUCAUCCCUGCCUGACACAUGCCCCUCAUGCAUGACAUUUGGCCCCCAAAAGUAGCUGUGUUUGUGACCCUAAAUUUAUCAUGGAAACAGCCUCUUCUGUUUGAUGAGAAUCAUCCCAAAGUUGGCAUAUGAAGCUUGAGUUUCAAGUAUGGAUGCUGAGCUCUUGACAGUGGGUGGGCAAACUGCAGAUAAUCAUUGUUAGAAGGGCUUGUGGAAAGAACAAUGAAGUAACCAGAGCUUACAUGAAAGAAGUUUCACUUUUCAAAUGAGAUAAACUAAUGUUCUUUAAACAACCCUUUUGUUCUAAUGCUUUUCCUACUAAUUCUAAAUGGAGGUGAAGAAAAACACACAGAUGGAUGUAACCAAAUCUAAAGUUAUUAAACGGAUUUUUUUUUAUGACUGGAAGCUAGCGGGCAACAAGAGGAAUGAAUAUUCCUGAAGGAGGCAGAUUAUUAGACCCAGAGUAUACUUUCUGAGGUACCCUACGCGAAGGAAGGAUCAUUGCACCAUUACGGAGACGAGGAUACAAACUGUCAGGCCUCUGAGCCCAAGCUAAGCCAUCACAUCUCCUGUGACCUGCACAUAUACAUCCAGAUGACCUGAAGCAAAUGAAGAACCACAAAAAAUAACAUUCCACCAUUGUGAUCUGUUCCUACCCACCCUAACUGAUCAAUUGACCUUAUGACAAUACCCCCUCCCCGCCCUUGCAAUAAUAUACUUUGUCAUACUCCCCCGCCCUUAAGAAGGUACUUUGUAAUAUUCUCCCCGCCCUUGAGAAUGUACUUUGUGAGAUCCACCCCCUGCCUAUAAAAAAUUGCUCCUAACUCCACCGCCUAUCCCAAACCUAUAAGAACUAAUGAUAAUCCCAGCACCCUUUGCUGACUCCUUUCUUGGACACAGCCUGCUUGCACCCAGGUGAAAUAAACAGCCUUGUUGCUCACACAAAGC